AUCAGUUAAAGUAAAAAACAAGUCAUGGGAAGGGAAGCUUGAGUCAAGGAAGGUUCUCUGUCCACCAAGGCAGCAAAGUUCUCCUGUGCAUCCUUGCUCUCCACUCAGCUUUCUGGGAAGCCUCAGAAAGGUUUCAAACCCUCAAACCUGGCACUUUGAAACCUGCAAGUAUUCAUCAAUUAUUCAGGGUAAAACACAAGAGGGAAGAAAGGAAGGACUGAGAAAGGAAAGAAGAGACUCCUGGAAAAAAAAGUAUGCUGAUUUGCCAAGUGAAGGGAUGAUGAUGCAGCUGCUGGAACACACUGGCUUAGAACACUGUGACAGUUUGUUAUCUAUUUUUUGUUGUAUUACCACAUAUCAGCAGCCUCAUAAGUUUUUCCUCUUUCAAAACAUCUCCAUUUGGGCUCUGAGGGUGAAAUGGCCCUGAAG